rnacentral:rRNA from 1 species
GACAGAGGGUGCAAACGUUGUUCGGAAUUACUGGGCGUAAAGCGCGCGUAGGCAGCAGCGUGUGUCGGGCGUGAAAUCCCACGGCUCAACCGUGGAAGUGCACUCGAAACUGCGCAGCUAGAGUCUCGGAGAGGAAGGCGGAAUGCUUGGUGUAGAGGUGAAAUUCGUAGAUAUCAAGCGGAACACCGGUGGCGAAGGCGGCCUUCUGGACGAUGACUGACGCUGAAGCGCGAAAGCCAGGGGAGCAAACGGG